UGAAGAGUAAACUAAAAAAGUUUUCUGGCUCAUGCCCAGACUAUAGAAGUAAACAUCUCUCUUCUG
rnacentral:tRNA from 1 species